UGCCAGCCGCCGCGGUAAUACGGAGGGUGCAAGCGUUGCUCGGAAUCACUGGGCGUAAAGCGGACGCAGGCGGAUCAGCAAGUCAGGCGUGAAAGCCCGGGGCUCAACCCCGGAACUGCGCUUGAAACUGCUGGCCUGGAAUACGGGAGAGGGGAGCGGAAUUCCUGGUGUAGAGGUGAAAUUCGUAGAUAUCAGGAGGAACACCGGUGGCGAAAGCGGCUCCCUGGCCCGAUAUUGACGCUCAUGUCCGAAAGCGUGGGUAGCAAACAGGAUUAGAUA
rnacentral:rRNA from 1 species